GGCGUAAAGGGCUCGCAGGCGGUUUCUUAAGUCUGAUGUGAAAGCCCCCGGCUCAACCGGGGAGGGUCAUUGGAAACUGGGGAACUUGAGUGCAGAAGAGGAGAGUGGAAUUCCACGUGUAGCGGUGAAAUGCGUAGAGAUGUGGAGGAACACCAGUGGCGAAGGCGACUCUCUGGUCUGUAACUGACGCUGAGGAGCGAAAGCGUGGGGAGCGAACAGGAUUAGAUACCCUGGUAGUCCACGCCGUAAACGAUGAGUGCUAAGUGUUAGGGGGUUUCCGCCCCUUAGUGCUGCAGCUAACGCAUUAAGCACUCCGCCUGGGGAGUACGGUCGCAAGACUGAAACUCAAAGGAAUUGACGGGGGCCCGCACAAGCGGUGGAGCAUGUGGUUUAAUUCGAAGCAACGCGAAGAACCUUACCAGGUCUUGACAUCCUCUGACAAUCCUAGAGAUAGGACGUCCCCUUCGGGGGCAGAGUGACAGGUGGUGCAUGGUUGUCGUCAGCUCGUGUCGUGAGAUGUUGGGUUAAGUCCCGCAACGAGCGCAACCCUUGAUCUUAGUUGCCAGCAUUCAGUUGGGCACUCUAAGGUGACUGCCGGUGACAAACCGGAGGAAGGUGGGGAUGACGUCAAAUCAUCAUGCCCCUUAUGACCUGGGCUACACACGUGCUACAAUGGACAGAACACAGGGCAGCGAAACCGCGAGGUUAAGCCAAUCCCACAAAUCUGUUCUCAGUUCGGAUCGCAGUCUGCAACUCGACUGCGUGAAGCUGGAAUCGCUAGUAAUCGCGGAUCAGCAUGCCGCGGUGAAUACGUUCCC
rnacentral:rRNA from 1 species